UAAUAAUCACAAUCUUAAAUCUUGUCUUCAAUGGCGAGGCUCUAAGUACAAAUCAUUAAACUGUCAAGCAGUCUUAAAACCUGAUAUCAAAAAAUAAUCCAAAAAUUGUUGUUGAAUGAAUAUAUACACGCAAUGGAUAGCGAAGAAGCAAAUGUGGCGAUAUUUGUGGGAGAAACGGAGGUGAAUGUUCUACAAAUAGUGCGAAUCCUUUACAGUUGAAUGCAGAAGGAAUUGUAAAAUCGGAUGACCGUGUAUGAGCACAUGUGCCUUUUGAAAAUACUGUAAAAUAGACUCUUCGUAAUCAACGAUCUAAUAAAUAUCUAAAAUGUUUUAAAUCACGGGAUAAAAUGAUAAUUGAAGGCGAAUAGUAAACAGCCUGACGGUUAUCGAUUCUUACUUCAUAAUUAUACUGGUCCUGAUUCUGAUGAAAGAAUAAUAAUGAUUUUCACUGACGCUUGUCUUCAAAUUAAACUGAAGUUGAUACAUGGUACGUGGAUGGGAAUUUCGUCCUCGCGCCUCCAUAGUUGCAAACCUAUACCAGCAUUUCCCAAUCGAGGAGCCGUGGCUUAUUGGUGUGCCGCCAAAC